rnacentral:rRNA from 1 species
UACGUAGGGGGCAAGCGUUGUCCGGAAUCAUUGGGCGUAAAGAGCGUGUAGGCGGCCUGAUAAGUCGGUUGUGAAAGUCAAGGGCUCAACCCUUGAAUGCCGGCCGAUACUGUCAGGCUAGAGUCCGGAAGAGGCGAGUGGAAUUCCUGGUGUAGCGGUGAAAUGCGCAGAUAUCAGGAGGAACACCGGUGGCGAAGGCGGAUCUCUGGGCCUUACCUGACGCUGAGGCGCGAAAGCUAGGGGAGCGAACAGG